rnacentral:rRNA from 1 species
AUUUAGCCGUAGCGGCAGCUAUAAUGCAAGUCGAGCGAACGGACGAGAAGCUUGCUUCUCUGAUGUUAGCGGCGGACGGGUGAGUAACACGUGGAUAACCUACCUAUAAGACUGGGAUAACUUCGGGAAACCGGAGCUAAUACCGGAUAAUAUUUUGAACCGCAUGGUUCAAAAGUGAAAGACGGUCUUGCUGUCACUUAUAGAUGGAUCCGCGCUGCAUUAGCUAGUUGGUAAGGUAACGGCUUACCAAGGCAACGAUGCAUAGCCGACCUGAGAGGGUGAUCGGCCACACUGGAACUGAGACACGGUCCAGACUCCUACGGGAGGCAGCAGUAGGGAAUCUUCCGCAAUGGGCGAAAGCCUGACGGACCAACGCCGCGUGAGUGAUGAAGGUCUUCGGAUCGUAAAACUCUGUUAUUACGGAAGACCAUGGGUGCCAG